CGCACACGUCUCGCGCGAAGGCAGAUGACAUUUGAAUCUUUGUUUACAAAUUGUAUCAAAGUAUUUAUUAUUACGAGAAAAAUCACAAUUGUAUGCAUUAAAUAGAUGCCUUGAACGAUGUCUUUGGAUAUAAAUGCAUGUCUGAAAGCAUUCUCCCUCGCGUUUGGCCAAUACAGUGGACAUCCCAAUGAACAGACGCUCAAGUAUGUCGAAAGACAGAUGGACGUA